UGGAAAUCGCCACUGCUGACCCAUGGGACGGGGCCAGGUGGAGACACACGGGUCACCCGGCCCUCCCUACAAGGGGGAGUGGGCGGGAGGAGGAGCGGGCACGAGGCCUGAAGGGCCAGACUCAGGAGCAGCCGGGAGACGCCAGCAGCCAGGGGCUGGGGCUGUUUCUUUCUCCUCUGCAAACUGAGCUGAGCUGUGGGCAGCCUCACCCCCACCUGUGAGAAAACAGCCUGGGGAAGGUAAAUGGCCUUCUGGGAGCCUUUGGAGUAAUCACCUUCCUGGGUGCCAGCCUCCUGAGGACGGCCUGAUCCAACAGGAGGGUGCCAACCUCAGCCAGUCUUGGCACUUCAGGGGGCCAAGGACGUGCUCGCCCGCAUCCAUCUGUCUGCCCUGCACGUCCAUCAGGGACCCCACAUGCCUCCUCCCGGUGACGACCCCCCGCCCACCCCACAAGACAUUCAGAGUGGAUUCGGCUUUCUGGAAGACACUGUGUGUUGUUGAGCAUUAAUUACUGGACACUUGGAAUAAUGUGUUCCGGGAAGUUUCACAGCUAUAUUUAGUCUGGCGGUUUUUCAAGCCAACUGACAUCUCCCUGAGCCUCAAAGGAGAAGAAUUGAGUGUCAGGCCCCAUCCUGGCGCUCGAUCUGCACCCAAGGCCAGCGCCAGCGUCCCGGGGCAGGGCCCUCCUGCUAGAGACCUGGUGUGUACUCGGUUUUCCUGUCUGUGAUGCUCAUGUCAACCUGUUGGUUCCAACUGCAACCCACCAGCGCCCCCAGCAUUCCUGCACCCAGGAGGCCGGUAUCUGAGGCUCUGCAGACUUCCCAGGGCCUCUGUCAGGGGUGCUGUGUGUCCUGUCCCAGGGCCCAGGUCGAGGUCUAACCAUUUUAAAUCUCCAUCUGAACAGCACUCACAGGGGACAGGAGCCCUCAGUAAACUCCUGUCGCAAACGACCCCUGCCAACUUCCUGUAUCUGUAGCCCGGCCCUAAAAAUAGUCUUGGGAUGGGGGCGGGGACUGUGUGAGGCAGGAUUUCACCUUGAGAAGGCACAGUGGGGGAAGACAGGAGCGACCAUUUCACACACUUGGGGGGGUGAGCUCAAGGCCUGGGCUCCCACCCUUGCACUGACCCUGGCAAGCUCACAACCUUAGGUUACCUGCCUUCCCUGAGCCUCAGUUUCCCCUCUUUGGGUCUC
rnacentral:lncRNA from 1 species